UAAUUGAAGAGUUUGAUCAUGGCUCAGAUUGAAUGCUGGCGGCAGGCUUAACACAUGCAAGUCGAGCGGUAGCACGGGGAGCUUGCUCCUCGGUGACGAGCGGCGGACGGGUGAGUAAUGUCUGGAAACUGCC
rnacentral:rRNA from 1 species